rnacentral:rRNA from 1 species
AAGUCGUAACAAGGUCUCCGUUGGUGAACCAGCGGAGGGAUCAUUACCGAGUUUACAACUCCCAAACCCAAUGUGAACGUUACCAAACUGUUGCCUCGGCGGGGUCACGCCCCGGGUGCGUCGCAGCCCCGGAACCAGGCGCCCGCCGGAGGAACCAACCAAACUCUUUCUGUAGUCCCCUCGCGGACGUAUUUCUUACAGCUCUGAGCAAAAAUUCAAAAUGAAUCAAAACUUUCAACAACGGAUCUCUUGGUUCUGGCAUCGAUGAAGAACGCAGCGAAAUGCGAUAAGUAAUGUGAAUUGCAGAAUUCAGUGAAUCAUCGAAUCUUUGAACGCACAUUGCGCCCGCCAGUAUUCUGGCGGGCAUGCCUGUCCGAGCGUCAUUUCAACCCUCGAACCCCUCCGGGGGAUCGGCGUUGGGGAUCGGGACCCCUCACACGGGUGCCGGCCCCUAAAUACAGUGGCGGUCUCGCCGCAGCCUCUCCUGCGCAGUAGUUUGCACAACUCGCACCGGGAGCGCGGCGCGUCCACGUCCGUAAAACACCCAACUUUCUGAAAUGUUGACCUCGGAUCAGGUAGGAAUACCCGCUGAACUUAA